ACUGUGGGAGGUGCUGUGGCCUAAUGGUUAGCACAUUGGACUCCGGAUCGAGCGGUCCGGGUUCGAGCCCUGGCCUGAGUC
rnacentral:tRNA from 1 species